UGGGGAAUUUUGGACAAUGGGGGAAACCCUGAUCCAGCCAUCCCGCGUGUGCGAUGAAGGCCUUCGGGUUGUAAAGCACUUUUGGCAGGAAAGAAACGUCGCGGGUUAAUACCCCGCGAAACUGACGGUACCUGCAGAAUAAGCACCGGCUAACUACGUGCCAGCAGCCGCGGUAAUACGUAGGGUGCAAGCGUUAAUCGGAAUUACUGGGCGUAAAGCGUGCGCAGGCGGUUCGGAAAGAAAGAUGUGAAAUCCCAGAGCUUAACUUUGGAACUGCAUUUUUUAACUACCGGGCUAGAGUGUGUCAGAGGGAGGUGGAAUUCCGCGUGUAGCAGUGAAAUGCGUAGAUAUGCGGAGGAACACCGAUGGCGAAGGCAGCCUCCUGGGAUAACACUGACGCUCAUGCACGAAAGCGUGGGGAGCAAACAGGAUUAGAUACCCUGGUAGUCCACGCCCUAAACGAUGUCAACUAGCUGUUGGGGUCUUCGGGCCUUGGUAGCGCAGCUAACGCGUGAAGUUGACCGCCUGGGGAGUACGGUCGCAAGAUUAAAACUUAAAUGAAUU
rnacentral:rRNA from 1 species